rnacentral:rRNA from 1 species
UACGGAGGGUGCGAGCGUUGUCCGGAAUCACUGGGCGUAAAGGGCGCGUAGGCGGCAUGCCAAGCGUGUGGUGAAAGCCCGGGGCUCAACCCCGGGUCGGCCGUGCGGACUGGCGUGCUCGAGCACUGUAGGGGCGGGUGGAAUUCCGGGUGUAGCGGUGGAAUGCGUAGAGAGUCCGGAAGAACACCGGUGGCGAAGGCGGCCCGCUGGGCAGGAAGGCUCGGCGCAAGAGCCGG